rfam:Neotoma lepida isolate 417 scaffold_1520, whole genome shotgun sequence.
GGAGAGAUGGCUCAGUGGUUAAGAGCACUGGCUUCUCUUCCAGAGGNCCUGGGUUUAAUUCCCAGCAUCCA